rnacentral:misc_RNA from 1 species
GAUGAAGAACGCAGCGAAAUGCGAUAAGUAAUGUGAAUUGCAGAAUUCAGUGAAUCAUCGAAUCUUUGAACGCACAUUGCGCCCUCUGGUAUUCCGGGGGGCAUGCCUGUCCGAGCGUCAUUACAACCCUCAAGCCUAGCUUGGUAUUGGGCCCCGCCGCCUGGCGGGCCCUAAAGUCAGUGGCGGUGCCGUCCGGCUCCGAGCGUAGUAAUUCUUCUCGCUCUGGAGGUCCGGUCGUGUGCUCGCCAGCAACCCCCAAUUUUUUUCAGGUUGACCUCGGAUCAGGUAGGGAUACCCGCUGAACUUAAGCAUAUCAAUAAGCGGAGGA